UACAGAGGGGGCAAGCGUUGUUCGGAAUUACUGGGCGUAAAGGGCGCGUAGGCGGCCUGUUAAGUCGAACGUGAAAUCCCCGGGCUCAACCCGGGAACUGCGUCCGAUACUGGCAGGCUUGAAUCCGGGAGAGGGAUGUGGAAUUCCUGGUGUAGCGGUGAAAUGCGUAGAUAUCUGGAGGAACACCGGUGGCGAAGGCGGCGUUCUGGACUGUCUCUGACACUGAAGAACGAAAGCCAGGGGAGCAAACGGG
rnacentral:rRNA from 1 species